AGUGAGAACACGCCAAAAUGCAAGUUUGGAGACGCACCCAAUCAGGGUGCCGGGGCUU
rnacentral:tRNA from 1 species